GGUUAAGUUAGAAAGGGCGCACGGUGGAUGCCUUGACACUAGGAGUCGAUGAAGGACGGGACUAACGCCGAUAUGCUUCGGGGAGCUGUAAGUAAGCUUUGAUCCGAAGAUUUCCGAAUGGGGAAACCCACCAUACGUAAUGGUAUGGUAUCCUUAUCUGAAUACAUAGGGUAAGGAAGACAGACCCAGGGAACUGAAACAUCUAAGUACCUGGAGGAAGAGAAAGCAAAUGCGAUUUCCUGAGUAGCGGCGAGCGAAACGGAACAUAGCCCAAACCAAGAGGCUUGCCUCUUGGGGUUGUAGGACAUUCUAUACGGAGUUACAAAGGAACGAGGUAGACGAAGCGACCUGGAAAGGUCCGUCGUAGAGGGUAACAACCCCGUAGUCGAAACUUCGUUCUCUCUUGAAUGUAUCCUGAGUACGGCGGAACACGUGAAAUUCCGUCGGAAUCUGGGAGGACCAUCUCCCAAGGCUAAAUACUCCCUAGUGAUCGAUAGUGAACCAGUACCGUGAGGGAAAGGUGAAAAGCACCCCGGAAGGGGAGUGAAAGAGAUCCUGAAACCGUGUGCCUACAAAUAGUCAGAGCCCGUUAACGGGUGAUGGCGUGCCUUUUGUAGAAUGAACCGGCGAGUUACGAUCCCGUGCGAGGUUAAGCUGAAGAGGCGGAGCCGCAGCAAAAGCGAGUCUGAAUAGGGCGUUUAGUACGUGGUCGUAGACCCGAAACCAGGUGAUCUACCCAUGUCCAGGGUGAAGUUCAGGUAACACUGAAUGGAGGCCCGAACCCACGCACGUUGAAAAGUGCGGGGAUGAGGUGUGGGUAGCGGAGAAAUUCCAAUCGAACCUGGAGAUAGCUGGUUCUCCCCGAAAUAGCUUUAGGGCUAGCCUUAAGUGUAAGAGUCUUGGAGGUAGAGCACUGAUUGGACUAGGGGUCCUCAUCGGAUUACCGAAUUCAGUCAAACUCCGAAUGCCAAUGACUUAUCCUUAGGAGUCAGACUGCGAGUGAUAAGAUCCGUAGUCAAAAGGGAAACAGCCCAGACCGCCAGCUAAGGUCCCAAAGUGUGUAUUAAGUGGAAAAGGAUGUGGAGUUGCUUAGACAACUAGGAUGUUGGCUUAGAAGCAGCCACCAUUUAAAGAGUGCGUAAUAGCUCACUAGUCGAGUGACUCUGCGCCGAAAAUGUACCGGGGCUAAAUACACCACCGAAGCUGCGGAUUGAUACCAAUGGUAUCAGUGGUAGGGGAGCGUUCUAAGGACAGUGAAGUCAGACCGUAAGGACUGGUGGAGUGCUUAGAAGUGAGAAUGCCGGUAUGAGUAGCGAAAGACGGGUGAGAAUCCCGUCCACCGAAUGCCUAAGGUUUCCUGAGGAAGGCUCGUCCGCUCAGGGUUAGUCAGGACCUAAGCCGAGGCCGACAGGCGUAGGCGAUGGACAACAGGUUGAUAUUCCUGUACCACCUCUUUAUCGUUUGAGCAAUGGAGGGACGCAGAAGGAUAGAAGAAGCGUGCGAUUGGUUGUGCACGUCCAAGCAGUUAGGCUGAUAAGUAGGCAAAUCCGCUUAUCAUAAAGGCUGAGCUGUGAUGGGGAAGCUCCUUAUGGAGCGAAGUCUUUGAUUCCCCGCUGCCAAGAAAAGCUUCUAGCGAGAUAAAAGGUGCCUGUACCGCAAACCGACACAGGUAGGCGAGGAGAGAAUCCUAAGGUGUGCGAGAGAACUCUGGUUAAGGAACUCGGCAAAAUGACCCCGUAACUUCGGGAGAAGGGGUGCUUUCUUAACGGAAAGCCGCAGUGAAUAGGCCCAAGCGACUGUUUAGCAAAAACACAGCUCUCUGCGAAGCCGUAAGGCGAAGUAUAGGGGGUGACACCUGCCCGGUGCUGGAAGGUUAAGGAGAGGGGUUAGCGUAAGCGAAGCUCUGAACUGAAGCCCCAGUAAACGGCGGCCGUAACUAUAACGGUCCUAAGGUAGCGAAAUUCCUUGUCGGGUAAGUUCCGACCCGCACGAAAGGUGUAACGAUUUGGGCACUGUCUCAACCAGAGACUCGGUGAAAUUAUAGUACCUGUGAAGAUGCAGGUUACCCGCGACAGGACGGAAAGACCCCGUGGAGCUUUACUGUAGCCUGAUAUUGAAUUUUGGUACAGUUUGUACAGGAUAGGCGGGAGCCAUUGAAACCGGAGCGCUAGCUUCGGUGGAGGCGCUGGUGGGAUACCGCCCUGACUGUAUUGAAAUUCUAACCUACGGGUCUUAUCGACCCGGGAGACAGUGUCAGGUGGGCAGUUUGACUGGGGCGGUCGCCUCCUAAAGUGUAACGGAGGCGCCCAAAGGUUCCCUCAGAAUGGUUGGAAAUCAUUCGUAGAGUGCAAAGGCAUAAGGGAGCUUGACUGCGAGACCUACAAGUCGAGCAGGGACGAAAGUCGGGCUUAGUGAUCCGGUGGUUCCGCAUGGAAGGGCCAUCGCUCAACGGAUAAAAGCUACCCCGGGGAUAACAGGCUUAUCUCCCCCAAGAGUCCACAUCGACGGGGAGGUUUGGCACCUCGAUGUCGGCUCAUCGCAUCCUGGGGCUGUAGUCGGUCCCAAGGGUUGGGCUGUUCGCCCAUUAAAGCGGUACGCGAGCUGGGUUCAGAACGUCGUGAGACAGUUCGGUCCCUAUCCGUCGUGGGCGUAGGAAAUUUGAGAGGAGCUGUCCUUAGUACGAGAGGACCGGGAUGGACGCACCGCUGGUGUACCAGUUGUUCUGCCAAGGGCAUAGCUGGGUAGCUAUGUGCGGAAGGGAUAAGUGCUGAAAGCAUCUAAGCAUGAAGCCCCCCUCAAGAUGAGAUUUCCCAUAGCGUAAGCUAGUAAGAUCCCUGAAAGAUGAUCAGGUUGAUAGGUUCGAGGUGGAAGCAUGGUGACAUGUGGAGCUGACGAAUACUAAUAGAUCGAGGACUUAACCAU
rnacentral:rRNA from 1 species